GUUGGGCACAGUGGUACGUGCCUGUAGUCCCAGUUGCCCAGGAGGCUGAGGAAGAAGGAUCGCGUGAUCCCAGGAGUUCUGGCUCAUAAAGCACUAUGCCCAUUGGGUGUCCACACUAAGGUUGGCAUCAGUAUGAUGACCUCCUGGAAGUGGGGGACCACCAGGUUGCCCAAGGAGGGGUGAACCAGCCCAGGUUGGAAACGGAGCAGGUCAAAACUCCUGUGCUGAUCAGUAAUGGGAUGGCACCUGUGAACAGCCAUGCACUCCAACCUAGGGAAAAUGGCAAGAUCCCAUCUCU
rnacentral:SRP_RNA from 1 species